CUAUAUACUACUCACUAUUAUUUCUUUAUUUACAUUUUAAGGGCUUGGAAGCACAUAAAUAUAAAAGUUCUUGGGAUUGUACUGUAAAGAUAGCAAAGCAUGAAGGACCUAAAGCGUAAGUGUGCCUGAAAUAAUUGCAUUGCCCUGUUUUUUUGUAACAAGUCCAGUGGCGAAACAGUAGCGAUAUUUACUGUAUACAUGACACUAGCUUGCGAGAAGGGGCUCUGGGGAGGUGGGAGUCUGCAGAGUCUAGUGCUCGCAAGCUAUACUACACGCAUCUCGUCCGAAGAAUUCACAUCGAUUCGAAGAAUGGUUGUCAUUCUUUUUUCUCCCGAAAUCAAUUUCAAUCGAGGUAAUCACUGCCACCUUAUAGAAAUACCGACGUUUACGCUAGAUUUAGCAAAGGAGACUGAAUAACCUCGUUUUAAACUCUUUCACUUUGCUCUAAAUAACAGCUUUGCUAAAAAAUGUUUAUUAGCUUGGUAAUGCGUAAAAAAUUGUAGCAGAUGGUUUUCGAAUCGGUAAAUAGGGUGUUCAUUUCCCCGCUCCGAAUUCUUUCCAGCCUGGAUGGCGUCCAUGAGGUAACCGAGUUCCCUGCAAGUGAUUGGAGCUAAUUGCAAACCGUCAGAGGGUCUUGCGAUUUGUGCAUGCUAGCUAGCAUAAAGUAGCAUUUCAAUAUUUCCCAAUUUUGUUUCAGUACUGUACUUACCGACCUGACGAAGGGCCCUCGCUCGAAACGUCGAAAUUUUCAUUAUCAACUAUCAAGCCGUCAAGCUCUGAUUUAUGUUUCCUAUUGCCGAAAUUGAUUUUCUCAGGUCUAGUUGUUCAAAUGUCCCCCCCCCCCCCCCCNNNNNNNNNNNNNNNNNNNNCCCCCCCCCCAGUGGCACGAUCUCCCAUCGCAACUAGCAAGCUAGGCUGUCCCCAACAUGCUCCGGAUGCUCCCUUCGUUCGCAGGGCUAACUGCAUGCAAACUAUUUUUGGUUACCUGCAAGGUCACUUUCCAAUCACAUACAAACGAGGCUGAAUAUUAAAACCAUAAUUUAAUGUAUUUUUCGGCAGGUUUUAUAAAGGUACUGUGCCACGUCUGGGCAGAGUUUGUUUUGAUGUGGCCUUUGUGUUUACGAUAUACGAACAAGUCAUGAAAGUUUUGAAUUAUGUCUGGGUCACUGAUUGAUCUGGAUUCAUAAGAAGGAUUCUACUGAUAUAUAAACUUCAGUCCAUCCGGGGGAAAGUAUAUAUUUGCAAAGCACAACACAAAUCUUUCGUGAUUUUUCCCCAAUGCUCACCUGCGAAGAGAGUAGUGCGAUGAACAGCGGAGGAGAACAGUGAGUUUUUAUCAAAUGAUUAGGAAUAAUUUUAUGUAAUUAUUAUAAGAUUUACUGACUAGUAUUAUUUUAUUAAAAUUUUGGAGAAUCGAUAUGCGAAGCGUUUUAUUUGGUGAUGGAAAUG
rnacentral:lncRNA from 1 species